GUACCCAUGAAGUCCAGAAGAGGACAGCAGAUCCCCAUAGCUGGAGUUGCAGGCAUCUGUAAGCUGUCCAAACAUCUGGGAACUCUCAUAGGGUCCUGUGGAGAGCAAGAAGGUCUCUAACCACUGAGCUUUUCUCCAGCCCCCUCACGCUGUAUUUCAACAGUGGUAACAUAGGUCACCAGCAGGUAUGCCUUUUAACUCCUCUUACCCACAGGAUAAUGAAGCUUUAAGCCUGACAGUUAAAAUAUCCCUUAAUCGGAAUGUGUGCACUAUGCAUGUGUGCACCAGGAACUGACUGUGUCCUCCCCAGAUCAGACGCUGAAGCUCCAGCCUUCAGCACAGAGAGGAGGCCACUGGAAAGAGAUAAGCUUAAAUUAAGCAGAGGCUGGAGCCUGGAUAGGACAGAGUAGUGUUUGGAGAGAUACCACAGAAAUCCUUUCAGACAAGACAAAUGGCAAACGCCCCACGAGACACAGGGAGCAGCUGUCCACAAGCUAAGGAAGCCUUGAUGAUCUCUCAGCCUUCACAAGUGUGAGAACCGGAAGAAUGCUGUGUGUAUCAUCUGUAAUCUUCUAUAGUCACGCUGACUCAUGAAACAUUAUGCUUACUCACCCUUGAAGAGUAAUACACUCUUGGGAGCUUUCAGCCCAGCAGCCACUCAGCAUUGCAGCAAAAUAACUCGACCUGGCACUUAAAAUGGCCCUGAAGAGAGAGGAUGGAAACAGGCAGAACACUUUCUUCUGAUGACAUCUUAGGUUCACAUGGAUUUGAGCAGAUUUGCUCAGACUGAAACUUGUGCAUAUGUGAGCCUGCAGGCAUGAAGCCCUGUCUGGUGGCCAGCUUCUCCUCUGCCAGAUUCUGACCCUGAACAGCUGCUGUGGAGCCCUAUGUCUGCAGGAAUGUGCUGGAAAACCACCCACUCUUCUCUGAACCUAUGUCACACCAGCAGAUCCAUCAGUCCCCACCUGUGGGCUCGGAAGCUCCUCCCAUCAACACAAAUGUCAAUGUCAGGGUAGUGCUGACUCAG